GGAACAGUGUUCGGUGGGACUGCGGCCGGCCUGCCAGCCUCGUCGGUGACCAGCGUCCGGGAACCUACUGGCUAAUACGGGACUUUUUCGUUUUCUGUUUUUAACUGGAAGCGGUAGUAGUUAAAUUUUGAAAAAUCAAGGGGAAAAGAAAAGAGUUUACUGAAAGUAAAAUAAGAACUAGAGCUAACUCUUAAGCGGCUACUUUGUGCUUAGAAUCUCACACACAUGUCAGAAGGGGCCUUCGAGGUUUUCUAAGCUAAGGAUGAUUUUUCAGUGAGCUGGGAUGGAGAGAGGUGGGGGCUGCACAGAGGGAGCAUUGGGGAUAUCUCCCACUUAUCCUUCAGGUUUGCAGCAGCAUCACAUUUUCUGGGAAACUGUGCAAUCCCUGUUCCAGACACAGGCUCGGUGCUUUUCCUCUGGGUCCCCUUGGCAUCUGUGCAGACUGUAGAAUUGGAUUGACCACACUAUAGUGGGAUCACCUUCUUUCUGGCUCCUGCAAUCUGCCAUGAGAAGAACAUGCCAUAGGCAGCCAGCGGGACUUCUUUUGUCUGGCCCCAGGAUCACAUACAAGGAACCAACCUGAUCAUGGGCCACCCUGCGUGCAACUGAGCCCAGCCAAUUCACUGCUGAUCUGCAGACUAAUGAGAGAAAAUACCAGCACUUAAUCUUGAUGCAGGCUUUGUUUUCUGGAGAACCCAAGCUAAGACAUAGACCCAGAUAGAUCAUGGCAUGAUGAAGAUGAUAAAAACGAGGCAGCUCACUGUAUAGAAAAAUAGUGGACUAAAAAUAGGUGGACUUGAAUUCUGCCCUUGAGUUUUCCACCAAUAGGCUUAUGAUUUUGGGAAAGUCAGCCUGGGCUUGGGCUUCAGAUACAUCAUCUAUAAAAUGCAAAGUUUGUUGAAGAGUAUUUCCAGCUCUGGCUAACAUUUGUGAUUUUCCUGAAGUUAUUGGGAAACCUAUAUCCAGAUGGAAUCUGAAGAGAGAGUUGCAGCCACCCUUUGGAUGAUAUGUUGUCCUUUUUCCCUCUUCCAAGAUUUUUUCCUGUUUCUCUAUUUCUUAGUUUGGCAGAUUAUUUGUUCUUUAAGAUUCAGUUCAAAUAUCAUUUUUUUUGUGUGUGUGAACCUUCCCUGACUUUCUUAGACAAUUUCCUCCUUUUUACUCUGGGUAACUUUACAUACCUGUGCAGUAAUUCUUAUUCCAUCAUUACAUGAUUAUUUGUAUAUAUGUUUGUUUUCCACUAAACUGUGGGCAUUUUCAAAACCACAACCACACAUUUAUUAUUCUUUAAGAAGUAAAUCAAUUUCAGUGGUGUUACAGAAGCUAUAGCCUUUUCUUUGUUUUCUUAAUACGUUAUUUACUUGUAAACUCUAAUUAGAUGCAAGCACUUUCAGAACAAUUUUUGUGAUCAAAUUCCACUCUUCUCCUCUAAAGCUGUACUAGCUCAUGUGCACAAAGAGACUUACAUAAGGAUGUUUAUUGUGGCCUUGCUUGAAAUAAUGAGAAAUGGGACUUACUCAUAUUUGCCCUUUAGUAAAGGAAUAACUAAAUUCUCCUCCUCCUCCUUUUCCUUGUUUUUCUUCCUCCUCUCUUUCCUUCCCUAACAGUACUCUAUUAGUACUCUUUUCUCCUCUACUGCUGGUGCUAAAAACACACCCCAGCUGCUGUGCCUGCCACCACCAACACCACUAGCACUAUAGUGACAUCAUUACCAGCAAUAAUGUGUUACACAGAGCUUACUAUACUGGAGAAGGGAGUGGGGAAACAGUAAUGUGGAGGGUGAUAAAAGGAUUUUUUAAUAAUAUUACAUAUUUUAAAAGGACAAGAUAUUCUUUUUUAUGGCUAGUCAUUUUGUUUGUUCUUUCUGUGAAAUCUUUACUAAGUCUAAGAUUGUGAAAAUUUUGUCUUAUGCUUUCUUUUAGAAACUUUAUGGUUCUAGUGUAUAUGUGGAGGUCUAUGUUAUACUCACAUCACAUUUUGUGCAUGGAGUGAGGUAGGAGAUGAGGGUUUUUUCCCACAUAUGUAUCUAAUUGUUCCAGUAUCAUUUGCAAAAACCUUUUCUUUCCCCAAUAAAUUUACAUGACACCUUGCUUGAUAAUCAAUUGACCAGAUACGUGUGGCUGUAUUUCUGGACUGUCUGUUCUAUUUGUCCAUGUUAUCCUUAAGCCAAUACCACACAGUCCUUAUAGCUUUAUCAGCUAGUGUAAAUCCUCCAGUUUUGUCCUUUUAAAAUACUAUUUUGUAUAAUCUAAGUCAUUUGCAUUUCCAUAUAAUUUUAGAAUUGAUUAAUUAAAGACUUCUAGGAUUUUGAUAGUGUUUUAAUUGAAUGUAUAAAUGUGUUUGGGCAUUUUCAACAAUGUUGAAGAUUGAAAUCUAUGCAUAUGAUAUAUUUGUCCAUUUAUUCAAAUCUUUAAUUUUUAUCAUAAAUGUUUAGUUUUCAGGGUAGAAGUUUCCUAUAGCUUUCAAUAAAAUUCUUAGGUAUUUUAUAUAUUUUUGAUGCUAUUGUAUAUGAUACUGCUUUCUAGAUUUUACUUUUUAUUGUUUGUUGCUAAUAUAUAGAAAUACAUUGUCCUUACAAGUUUUCCAUUGCUCUUCCUUUAAGCUCUCCUUACCUUCUUCAUCCUUAUACAAUCAUUGAUCUGCUUUUGGUCACUGUACAUACAUUAGGUUGUGCUUUCUAGAAUUUUAUAUACAUGAGGUCAUAUAGAUUAUACUCAUUUUGUCAUUCAGCAUAAUUAUUUUGAGAUUCAACCAUGAUGUAGCAUGUAUCAAUAGUUUAUCCCUUUUGUUGCUGAAUAGUAUUCCACUGUGUGAAUAAAUAAUAGUUUGUCCAUUCACCCAUUGAUGGGUAUUUGGAUUCUUUCCAAUUUGGACCAUUAAAAAUAAAGCUGCUAUGAACAUUUGUGUACAAAUAUUUAUAUAGAUACAUUCUUUAUCCUGGGUAAAUACUUAAGGGAGAAAUGGAUGGAUUUUAUGGUAACCUUAAAAGAAAACUGUCAACUGUUUCUCAGAGUUGUACUAUUUCAUAAGUCUGUCAUCACUGUAUGAGAGUUCCAGUUUCUACAGUUUCUCUAUAUUAUCACCAAUACUUGGUAUGGCCAAUCUGUGUUUUUAAUUUUUAAUUAUAGCCCUUCAGAUAGAUGGAUAGGAGUAUCUCACUGUGGUUCAAAUUUGCAUUUCUCUAAUUACUGACAAUGUUAAGAAUCUUUUCAUGUGUUCAUUUGCCAUUCAUAUAUAUGUAUAAUAUGUAUAUAAGUAUAUAUAUAUCAAUAUAUAAUAAGUUAUAUAAGUAUAACUUUUUUGGCUAAGUGUCUGUUCAAAUCUUAAGUCCUUUUAAAAACAGAGUUAUUCAUUUUCUUAAGGAUUUUGAGGGCCUUUAUAUAUUCUGGGUACAAAUUUUUUUUUAAUCAUCUAUAUCAUUUGGAAAUACAUUCUCCUAACCUGUAGCUUAUCUUCUCAUUCUCUAAACAGCAUCUUUUGAAGAACAGAAAAUUUUAAUUUUAAUAAAGUCCAGUUUAUUAUUUUGUUCUUUCAUUGGUUAUUCUUUUAUUGUAGCUAAACAAGC